rnacentral:lncRNA from 1 species
UCCAAUUCACUUUUUCUUGAGAUGGAUGAGUCAUAUGGUACUAUCAGCCAAUACACUUCCUUUCCAUCCAAAUGAUAUGUAAUUCAUAGGAGGAAUGAGUUUAGGGCUACCAAAACAAUGCAAAGUACUUUCGAACUGUAUGACGGUGGAGGCCUGUCGGAAGAACAUGCUUUUGGUAGGACUUAAAGUGAAAAUUCUGAUUACCGGAGAGGUUUCACAUAUUUCUUGGGUUUUUCUUGCAAUAGGAUUUUGACGGGUAUAUUGUAGCCAAGCCAGGAACAAUAUAGACUAGCUCAUGGAUAUUUGUACCGCUAGGUAUAUUCAAGACAAGAAGUAUAUGCAAGCCACUACAACCGCUAGAUCAGGUUAGUGAUAUGAAUUUUCUUUAAUUUUUGCUUUUGUUUGCUUGCUUUGCUCGCCAUGGAUAUUGCCAUCUUUACUAAAACUAUUAAGAAAGUAUAACAUAUUGCUGUAUUAAUAAUUAUAAUCGUAUAUUGACCAAGCAUGAUAAUCCAUCAGAUGAUUUGCUUCAUAUCAGAAAAAAUUAUGCUUCAGUAAUUCUUAUUCGUUUUGCAGGCAUCUCUUUGAUUGGUUAUCCGCAUUCUACUAAAGGCAAGCUCCUCUGUUUCUUCUUUCAUCACAACCGAAGUGUGUCGGUUGAUGUUGCAUGAGAGGAAGUUCCUUUGUGUUGUCUAAUGGCAUCAUGUGACUUGUCUUGUCCAUUGUAAAAAAAUUGUAAAUUGGAUGUCACUUCUUACACAGGUGUGCUAAAGUUGCCUUGCUCUUGCAUUCUCUUAGAUAAUUUGAUUCAGCUUGCUACCUGAAUUAAAUUUUUCGGUAGAGGAAAUUCGAGAGCUAGGAUACCUCAUGAUACGUGCAGAAGAAGUAACAUCCAAUUCACUUUUUCUUGAGAUGGAUGAGUCAUAUGGUACCAUUAGCCAC